rnacentral:rRNA from 1 species
GGUUAAGUGAAUAAGGGCGCACGGUGGAUGCCUUGGCACUAGGAGCCGAUGAAGGACGGGACUAACACCGAUAUGCUUUGGGGAGCUGUACGUAAGCUAUGAUCCAGAGAUUUCCGAAUGGGGGAACCCAGCAUCUUUUAUAGGAUGUUACGUUUGCGUGAAUACAUAGCGCAUUCGAGGUAGACGCAGAGAACUGAAACAUCUAAGUACCUGCAGGAAGAGAAAGAAAAUUCGAUUCCCUGAGUAGCGGCGAGCGAAACGGGAAAAGCCCAAACCAAUGAGCUUGCUCAUUGGGGUUGUAGGACUCCAAUAUGGUAGUUCUUUCAGAUAGUCGAAUGACUUGGAAAAGUCAGUCAAAGAGGGUAAAAACCCCGUAGAUGAAAUUUGGAAGGCACCUAGGAGGAUCCUGAGUACGGCGGAACACGAGGAAUUCCGUCGGAAUCCGGGAGGACCAUCUCCCAAGGCUAAAUACUCCCUAGUGACCGAUAGUGAACCAGUACCGUGAGGGAAAGGUGAAAAGCACCCCGGAAGGGGAGUGAAAUAGAACCUGAAACCGUGUGCCUACAACAAGUCAAAGCCCGUUAAUGGGUGAUGGCGUGCCUUUUGUAGAAUGAACCGGCGAGUUACGAUUGCAUGCGAGGUUAAGUUGAAGAGACGGAGCCGCAGCGAAAGCGAGUCUGAAUAGGGCGUUUGAGUAUGUAGUCGUAGACCCGAAACCAUGUGAUCUACCCAUGUCCAGGUUGAAGGUGCGGUAAAACGCACUGGAGGACCGAACCCACGUACGUUGAAAAGUGCGGGGAUGAGGUGUGGGUAGCGGAGAAAUUCCAAACGAACUUGGAGAUAGCUGGUUCUCUCCGAAAUAGCUUUAGGGCUAGCCUCGGAAUUGAGAAUGAUGGAGGUAGAGCACUGUUUGGACUAGGGGCCCAUCUCGGGUUACCGAAUUCAGAUAAACUCCGAAUGCCAUUCAUUCAUAUCCGGGAGUCAGACUGUGAGUGAUAAGAUCCAUAGUCGAAAGGGAAACAGCCCAGACCACCAGCUAAGGUCCCAAAAUAUAUGUUAAGUGGAAAAGGAUGUGGGGUUGCACAGACAACUAGGAUGUUGGCUUAGAAGCAGCCACCAUUUAAAGAGUGCGUAAUAGCUCACUAGUCGAGUGACCCUGCGCCGAAAAUGUACCGGGGCUAAACAUAUUACCGAAGCUGUGGAGUACACCUUUAGGUGUAUUGGUAGGAGAGCGUUCUAAGGGCGUUGAAGGCAGAUCGUGAGGACUGCUGGAGCGCUUAGAAGUGAGAAUGCCGGUAUGAGUAGCGAAAGACAGGUGAGAAUCCUGUCCACCGAAUGACUAAGGUUUCCUGGGGAAGGCUCGUCCGCCCAGGGUUAGUCGGGACCUAAGCCGAGGCCGACAGGCGUAGGCGAUGGACAACAGGUUGAUAUUCCUGUACUCGUUGUUUUUGUUUGAGCAAUGGAGGGACGCAGGAGGCUAAGGAAUGCAGACGAUUGGAAAUGUCUGUCUAAGCAGUAAGUCUUGAUAGGAGUCAAAUGCUUCU